CAGCAGCGCGGGAACACGUAGGGUGCAAGCGUUAAUCGGAAUUACUGGGCGUAAAGCGUGCGCAGGCGGUUUGUUAAGACAGAUGUGAAAUCCCCGGGCUCAACCUGGGAACUGCAUUUGUGACUGGCAAGCUAGAGUGUGGCAGAGGGGGGUGGAAUUCCGCGUGUAGCAGUGAAAUGCGUAGAUACGCGGAGGAACACCGAUGGCGAAGGCAGCCCCCUGGGCCAACACUGACGCUCAUGCACGAAAGCGUGGGGAGCAAACAGGAUUAGAUACCCCCGUAGUCCCUGUCUCUUAUACA
rnacentral:rRNA from 1 species